UUUAUUAUUAGAGAUUGAUUCUGUCUUGGUUAAUUGGCUAUUUUGGGUGAUGCUAAAUAUAAGUUUUUGCGUGUAAUAUUUAUAUUAUCUAAAUGAUAGUAUAUUUUUGUUUGUUUGUAGUUUUUUAUUUUGAUUUUAUUACAUAAUUGUAGAUUCAGUCAAUUUAAUUUUAGAACUGUAAAAGGUUGUGCCAG
rnacentral:rRNA from 1 species